AUUUAAAUAGUUUAAUAAGAAUAAUAAUCUGUGGAGUUAUAGGUGUCGUUUGUGACUUUGAAU
rnacentral:tRNA from 1 species